UACAGAGGGUGCGAGCGUUAAUCGGAAUUACUGGGCGUAAAGCGUGCGUAGACGGUAGCGUAAGUCAGAUGUGAAAGCCCCGGGCUCAACCUGGGAACUGCAUUUGAGACUGCUCUGCUCGGGUGCGGAAGAGGGAAGCGGAAUUUCCGGUGUAGCGGUGAAAUGCGUAGAUAUUCGCAAGAACACCAGUGGCGAAGGCGGCUCACUGGCCCGGUACUGACGCUGAGGCACGAAAGCGUGGGGAGCAAACAGG
rnacentral:rRNA from 1 species